UGUAUGCAGCACACUCACCUGG
rnacentral:misc_RNA from 1 species